GACGAACGCUGGCGGCGUGCUUAACACAUGCAAGUCGAACGGAAAGACCCUGCUUUUGUGGGGUGCUCGAGUGGCGAACGGGUGAGUAACACGUGAGUAACCUGCCCUUGACUUUGGGAUAACUUCAGGAAACUGGGGCUAAUACCGGAUAGGAGCUCCUGCUGCAUGGUGGGGGUUGGAAAGUUUCGGCGGUUGGGGAUGGACUCGCGGCUUAUCAGCUUGUUGGUGGGGUAGUGGCUUACCAAGGCUUUGACGGGUAGCCGGCCUGAGAGGGUGACCGGCCACAUUGGGACUGAGAUACGACCCAGACUCCUACGGGAGGCAGCAGUGGGGAAUAUUGCACAAUGGGCGGAAGCCUGAUGCAGCAACGCCGCAUGCGGGAUGACGGCCUUCGGGUUGUAAACCGCUUUCGCCUGUGACGAAGCGUGAGUGACGGUAAUGGGUAAAGAAGCACCGGCUAACUACGUG
rnacentral:rRNA from 1 species